UCUUUGACCUCGGAUCAGUA
rnacentral:rRNA from 1 species